rnacentral:rRNA from 1 species
UGGGGAAUAUUGGACAGUGGAGGGAACUCUGAUCCAGCAAUUCUGUGUGCACGAAGAAGGUUUUCGGAUUGUAAAGUGCUUUCAGUUGGGAAGAAGGAAGUGACGGUACCAACAGAAGAAGCGACGGCUAAAUACGUGCCAGCAGCCGCGGUAAUACGUAUGUCGCGAGCGUUAUCCGGAAUUAUUGGGCAUAAAGGGCAUCUAGGCGGUUAUGCAAGUCAGGGGUGAAAACUUACGGCUCAACCGUGAGCUUGCCUUUGAAACUGUGUGACUAGAGUACUGGAGAGGUGGGCGGAACUACACGAGUAGAGGUGAAAUUCGUAGAUAUGUGUAGGAAUGCCGAUGAUGAAGAUAGCUCACUGGACAGAAACUGACGCUGAAGUGCGAAAGCUAGGGGAGCGAACAGGAUUAGAUACCCUGGUAGUCCUAGCUGUAAACGAUGAUCACUGGGUGUGGGCAUGAAGAGUGUCUGUGCCGAAGCUAAUGCGAUAAGUGAUCCGCCUGGGGAGUACGACCGCAAGGUUG